AGCAAGAGCACACCGCGUGAGUGAAGAAGGGUUUCGGCUCGUAAAGCUCUGUUGUUGGAGAAGAACGUGCGUGAGAGUAACUGUUCACGCAGUGACGGUAUCCAACCAGAAAGUCACGGCUAACUACGUGCCAGCAGCCGCGGUAAUACGUAGGUGGCAAGCGUUAUCCGGAUUUAUUGGGCGUAAAGCGAGCGCAGGCGGUUGCUUAGGUCUGAUGUGAAAGCCUUCGGCUUAACCGAAGAAGUGCAUCGGAAACCGGGCGACUUGAGUGCAGAAGAGGACAGUGGAACUCCAUGUGUAGCGGUGGAAUGCGUAGAUAUAUGGAAGAACACCAGUGGCGAAGGCGGCUGUCUGGUCUGCAACUGACGCUGAGGCUCGAAAGCAUGGGUAGCGAACAGGAUUAGAUACCCUGGUAGUCCAUGCCGUAAACGAUGAGUGCUAGGUGUUGGAGGGUUUCCGCCCUUCAGUGCCGGAGCUAACGCAUUCAGCACUCCGCCUGGGGAGUACGACCGCAAGGUUGAAACUCAAAGGAAUUGACGGGGGCCCGCACAAGCGGUGGAGCAUGUGGUUUAAUUCGAAGCUACGCGAAGAACCUUACCAGGUCUUGACAUCUUGCGCUAACCUUAGAGAUAAGGCGUUCCCUUCAGGGACGCAAUGACAGGUGGUGCAUGGUCGUCGUCAGCUCGUGUCGUGAGAUGUUGGGUUAAGUCCCGCAACGAGCGCAACCCUUGUUACUAGUUGCCAGCAUUGAGUUGGGCACUCUAGUGAGACUGCCGGUGACAAACCGGAGGAAGGUGGGGACGACGUCAGAUCAUCAUGCCCCUUAUGAC
rnacentral:rRNA from 2 species